rfam:Echinostoma caproni strain Egypt genome assembly, scaffold: ECPE_scaffold0005212
GCACUGAUGACGAAUCUCAAACGAGACGAAACAGCUGUCCAGUGC